rnacentral:lncRNA from 1 species
AAUAUUACAUUAAACAUCUAUCAUAAUUUAUAAUCUGAUAUAAAAGCAAGAAAAUUAGAAAACGUAAAUAUAUAAUUAAAAAAUGAAAAAACUAAAUUAAACAUAUAUCUGAAAAAUGUAUCUAUACUAAUAAAAUGGAGCUCAAUACUAAUAAAAUAGAGCUUUUGAGGCUCCAUAGGGCGUCCACAUCAACGGAAAAAAAUUUCUUAUAAAAGAUGACACAUGGC